CCUACGGUUUGCAGCAGUGGGGAAUAUUGCACAAUGGGCGCAAGCCUGAUGCAGCCAUGCCGCGUGUGUGAAGAAGGCCUUCGGGUUGUAAAGCACUUUCAGCGGGGGGGAAGGCGUUAAGGUUAAUAACCUUAGCGAUUGACGUUACCCGCAGAAGAAGCUCCGGCUAACUCCGUGUCAGCAGCCGCGGUAAUACGGAGGGUGCAAGCGUUAAUCGGAAUUACUGGGCGUAAAGCGCACGCAGGCGGUCUGUCAAGUCGGAUGUGAAAUCCCCGGGCUCAACCUGGGAACUGCAUUCGAAACUGGCAGGCUAGAGUCUUGUAGAGGGGGGUAGAAUUCCAGGUGUAGCGGUGAAAUGCGUAGAGAUCUGGAGGAAUACCGGUGGCGAAGGCGGCCCCCUGGACAAAGACUGACGCUCAGGUGCGAAAGCGUGGGGAGCAAACAGGAUUAGAUACCCUCGUAGUC
rnacentral:rRNA from 1 species